AUUGAACGCUGGCGGCAUGCCUUACACAUACAAGUCGAACGGUAACAGGGAGCUUGCUCCGCUGACGAGUGGCGAACGGGUGAGUAAUGUAUCGGAACGUACCUUUCAGUGGGGGAUAACGUAGCGAAAGUUACGCUAAUACCGCAUAUUCUGUGAGCAGGAAAGCAGGGGAUCGCAAGACCUUGCGCUGAUUGAGCGGCCGAUAUCAGAUUAGCUAGUUGGUGAGGGAAAGGCUCACCAAGGCGACGAUCUGUAGCGGGUCUGAGAGGAUGAUCCGCCACACUGGAACUGAGACACGGUCCAGACUCCUACGGGAGGCAGCAGUGGGGAAAUUUGGACAAUGGGGGCAACCCUGAUCCAGCCAUGCCGCGUGAGUGAAGAAGGCCUUCGGGUUGUAAAGCUCUUUCGGCCGGGAAGAAAUCGCAUGGGUUAAUACCCUGUGCGGAUGACGGUACCGGCAUAAGAAGCACCGGCUAACUACGUGCCAGCCGCCGCCGUAAGAC
rnacentral:rRNA from 1 species